CAGCCGCCGCGGGAAUACGAGGGGGGCAAGCGUUGUUCGGAAUUAUUGGGCGUAAAGGGAGCGUAGGCGGUUUCGUAAGUCUGAUGUGAAAUCUAUGGGCUCAACCCAUAGUCUGCAUCGGAAACUGCGAGGCUUGAGAGUGGGAGAGGUGAGUGGAAUUUCCGGUGUAGCGGUGGAAUGCGUAGAUAUCGGAAGGAACACCUGUGGCGAAAGCGGCUCACUGGACCAUUUCUGACGCUGAUGCACGAAAGCUAGGGGAGCAAACAGGAUUAGAUACCCCUGUAGUCCCUGUCUCUUAUAA
rnacentral:rRNA from 1 species